CCCCAUCUCUGCCCCCCAGCCCCCAGCUCCCGCCCCCUUCGCUGCCCCCCACCCUGCCCUGCGCCGCCUGCCUAGUGCCCAUGCUGGCGCUGGCGGGGGUGGCCGGCCUCUUCGUGGUGAUCUCGGCCCUNGGCCCGGGCCCGGGGGGUGCCCAGCGUGUGGCGCCGGGGCGGGGCGCUGUGGAUCGAGCCGGCGGCCCCGCCCCAGCUGGACAGAGCCCCCCAGGCGGAGACGGGCGACCUGUGGAUCCCGCGCCCCCCACCCAGCGCCGAGGACUGGUACCGGGGGCCCGCCGGCAGCUCGGGGAGUGGCACCUCCAGCGGCAUCCACUCGGGGGCGCCGGAGAGCGCUGGCAGCACCACGGCCUUGUGGGACCCUGAGGCACCGGCCUGGGGGGCUCAGCCCCAUGUCACCCUGCAGGACAUCUCCGAGUUCUUCCGACGUGGAGGGGGGAGGGGGCCGUGAGCACCGGCACGGGGGGGCACCAGGAGGCGACACCCCCGCCCCAAGAAGCAGGAUUCACCCCCAUGGAUGUUGGGGCAGAGCUGAGAUUUUGGGGGGACACUUUGAAAAUUGGAGGGGCACAAGCCUGUUGAGGACCCCCCCACUGUCCCCCACCAUGGGGCACAGAGGGGUCUGCACCCCCCUGCCUCCCUGGCCCGCCAUGGGGCACAGAAGGGCUGCUCUAUGGGACAUGGGAAAUUUCUGCCAGCGGCCGGUUCGCGGGGCUACGGACAAGUGGCCGAAGCUCUUGGCUCCGUUAACAGCCCCUGGGUGGGGGCUCGUUGUGUCCCCUAUUCACCCCCUGUGACAAAGUGGGAAUGUUCUUAAUGUCUCUGAACACUGUGUGGGUGCCUCGGUUUCCCCAUGCCGUUCUCAAGGUGCCAGCUGAACGUGUUGGAGAACAAAGAGAUCAGGUGACCCCGUGGCCCAGGAAAGAGACAAAGGCCACGGGGGGGCUGGAGAGUCUCAGUUUGGAGUUGGCUGGGGAGACGGGGGGAGCCCCAGGGCUGGGGGCUGGGCUCCCCACCCCCCAGAAUGGACCCGGCCGAGGGGUCCCGUUCUCUGUACCUACAAGCUCUGUGUUAGACCCUGUUCCUGUCAUCGAAUAAACCUCUGUUUUAUUGGCU
rnacentral:lncRNA from 1 species